rnacentral:rRNA from 1 species
UACGUAGGGACCAAGCGUUGUCCGGACUUACUGGGCGUAAAGCGCGUGCAGGCGGUCGGGGAUGUGCCGUGUGAAAGCGCCGUGUUCAACGCGGCGAGGCCACGGUAGACACUUCGACUUGAGGCUCCGAGAGGAUGGUAGAAUUCCCGGUGUAGUGGUGAAAUGCGUAGAUAUCGGGAGGAAUACCGAUGGCGAAGGCAGCCAUCUGGCGGAGACCUGACGCUGAGACGCGACGGCGUGGGGAGCAAACAGG